rnacentral:tRNA from 1 species
GCAGCCAUGGCCAAGUGGGUUAAGGCCUCGUGCUUAUAACGCGAAAAUCGGGAGUUCAAUCCUCCCUGGCUGCA